UACGAAGGGGGCUAGCGUUGCUCGGAAUCACUGGGCGUAAAGCGCACGUAGGCGGCUUUCUAAGUCAGGGGUGAAAUCCUGGAGCUCAGCUCCAGAACUGCCUUUGAUACUGGAGAGCUUGAGUCCGGAAGAGGUGAGUGGAACUCCGAGUGUAGAGGUGAAAUUCGUAGAUAUUCGGAAGAACACCAGUGGCGAAGGCGGCUCACUGGUCCGGUACUGACGCUGAUGUGCGAAAGCGUGGGGAGCAAACAGG
rnacentral:rRNA from 1 species